AUGAGCAGCCCUGCACCCAUCCAUUCAACUUUCAGCACCUUUGCUGUAGGCAGGAUCCCACUGUGUCACCCCCACGAGGGGUUUGGCACCAUCAGCUCCUCCAUCACAGCGAGACAGACAGUGCUGAGCCUGGGAGGACAGCAAACAUGUACAAAGAAAAAGAAAACAAUUAAAAGACACAAGACAAAAGGAUCUGUUGGAUGGCAACCAGUGCAUCUGGGGAAACAUCUUUGUUUUAGAGAGGGAAGAGAGAGAAGGAAAAGAGAGGAAAAAUGCAUCCGGGGCGGGACUGCUGCUUGCCUGUGUGCGCACACAGGGAACACAGAACAGCUCUGUGCAUUUGUGAUACUAAGAGCAUGGCAGGCCUGUCACCAGUGGCUGCUCAACCCUCACUCCCUUCCGAGGUGUUGUGUUCCCAUGCCUGCAGGCAGCGCUUCGUCCUUUUCUCUCUUCCCCACCAUCUGCUGUCGCAAAUUCCCCGAGCAUCGCCUGCCCCGGCAUAGAGUUUCAGCCCAUGGCGGAAAACAAGAGGGAGAGAAAUCCAACCCGAGCCCCAACCCCAGCCCCAACCCUGUGCCCAUGUGCUGCUGCAUGUCUGGCCACUGCCCCCAGGGAGCGGCGGGUGCUGGAGACACCUCUGGGUGCCAGUGCUCCUUGUGGGUGCUGGGGGGUCCUUAUGCUGUGCUGGGCAGGUGUGGGAUGGGAAUGCAGGGCCAAGGACAUAGUAGGAUCCUCUUCCCUUGUAUGGCCAGGACCAGCGGCACAUUCCCGGCUAACCCCACUGUUUCAAAUUACAAAGCUGCCCCGAUCCCACCGAGCCACCUCAGAUCUCAGGAGAGAGCCGUCAGCUCUUUGAAAUCCAGGCUGGAGCGUUGCCAGCAGGCAGUGCUCACAGCAACAGCUGGGCUCCUUCCCGGUGGGACACGUGGCCCAACCCGGCAUCAGGGGCAGAAACAUGGGCUUGGGACAAGGGAAGAGGGCUCUGGAAACUGCGGCCCUGCCAGCACGUCUUGCAUCAUGUCCUGCCAUUAG
rnacentral:lncRNA from 1 species